AGCAGCCGCGGUAAUUCCAGCUCCAAUAGCGUAUAUUAAAGUUGUUGCAGUUAAAAAGCUCGUAGUUGAAUUUCGGAAUCAAUAUGUUGGUCGUGCCUUGGUACGUACUGGCGUCAUUGGUUUCUACCUUCUGAAGAACCUCGAUGUCAUUAAUUUGGUGUCUUGGGGAAUCAGGACUGUUACUUUGAAAAAAUUAGAGUGUUUAAAGCAAGCUCACGCUUGAAUACAUUAGCAUGGAAUAAUGAAAUAGGACGUUUGAUUCUAUUUUGUUGGUUUCUAGGAUCGACGUAAUGAUUAAUAGGGAUAGUUGGGGGCAUUAGUAUUCAAUUGUCAGAGGUGAAAUUCUUGGAUUUAUUGAAGACUAACUACUGCGAAAGCAUUUGCCAAGGAUGUUUUCAUUAAUCAAGAACGAAAGUUAGGGGAUCGAAGACGAUCAGAUACCGUCGUAGUCUUAACCAUAAACUAUGCCGACUAGGGAUCGGAUGAUGUUAAUUUUUUAAUGACUCAUUCGGCGCCUUACG
rnacentral:rRNA from 2 species